UUAUUUACUUGGGUUUUAUUUCUUAUACGUAAAGACAUUGGUUCACAUUAACUCAAUAAGAUCAUGUUUAGACAUGUUUUAAAGUGUGAUAUUAAUCAUCGCAUAGAAACGGUGAGAUCGUAAUAUGACAUCGAUCACACGUUAGGAAUCAAUUUACUACAUUUAUUUUGCAACGCUGAGGAAACUUUUACAGGUUUGGACAUGAAGUUAAUUAAUAGCACGUGGCAUAGCCGGUGCGUCUCAUGUUACCUAUUUGAUAUAAGCAACCAAUAGAUUUUAUUUAGUUAUCAAUUCGACUUUGUUGCGUUCAAACUUGUUUGGGUUAAAAGUUAAAAUGGCUCAACGUAGUCACAGUCAUCUUACCUCACCACAAGCCAGCUACGUUCUUUCAAUCGAUAGUAGAGUCCCCAAGCACGUAAUUAAAAUUGAAAUUAUGGAAGCAGUGGAAGUGUCAAACGAUGAAGUGGACAUUCAAAGUCGUGCAAAAACUCAAUACAUUGUGUACGAAAAUUGUGAUGAUGUAUAUUUUAGCGCGCUGCAACUGAUGUCACACAUCAGUUCCAAACUGCGAGACCGCAACGAAAGACCUACCUUGUGAGUGGGAAAUAAUUAAUUAUCAAUCAGAAAAUGACUGACGUAUAUGAUGAUUUUCCUCAAUACGCUCAAGACCCGUUACAACAGUUCACUCAGCAAUACAAAGAUUUAUUUGGGGUGGAAUCGACGCAAAUUGAUCAAAAACGUAAAAAACGAGUUUCUCCAAAAAAUAAUAAGCGGAUAACUCCAAAAUCUUUUGUGGUGUGUAACGAACAGAAAGGCUUCAAAAUGAUCCAGAUAAAGGUGGUGGACCUGGUCUGCGAGCGUGACCGAGCAAAUUCGAACUCAUCAUCAUCUACGUCAGAUGCUGACAGCGAGUGCGUGUUACUUAGUGCCCAAUACGUAGUCCAUGACGCAGUGGACGAAAUAAUGGAUAUGACAGAAUGUGUAAUUAAAAAGAUAUCAAAAAAGUUAACUGGUUCUAACUUUUAAUUGAUUAUGUUUUUUAAUAUAGUUGUAAAUGUAAUGAAAUAAAUUAUUAUGCAAAAA